rnacentral:pre_miRNA from 1 species
GACCGCCGCCACGCCGACCCGACGGAGGCCCAGGACGCAGGAAUCCUGCGUCCUGGGCCUCCGUCGUCAGCCGAUGGUGAUCGGG